AAGGCUUGACAUACACCGGUAACGCCCAGGAGAUGGGUGCCCCUUGUGUCGGUGUACAGGUGGUGCAUGGUUGUCGUCAGCUCGUGUCGUGAGAUGUUGGGUUAAGUCCCGCAACGAGCGCAACCCUCGUCCUAUGUUGCCAGCGGGUCAUGCCGGGGACUCAUGGGAGACUGCCGGGGUCAACUCGGAGGAAGUGGGAUGACGUCAAAUCAUCAUGCCCCUUAUGUCUUGGGCUUCACGCAUGCUACAAUGGCCGGUACAAAGGGCUGCGAUACCGCGAGGUGGAGCGAAUCCCAGAAAGCCGGUCUCAGUUCGGAUUGGGGUCUGCAACUCGACCCCAUGAAGUCGGAGUCGCUAGUAAUCGCAGAUCAGCAACGCUGCGGUGAAUACGUUCCCGGGCCUU
rnacentral:rRNA from 1 species